AGAAAUGCUGUAGCAUAAUAAAGGGAGCAGAUGAAUGACUGAAGCCCUACAGCUCCACUAAAGAUUAGAGUAAAAUCUGCACUUCAAAAGAUCCUGUAUUCUUGCAAGAGAACAGAGCUCCUGAUCACCUGUGUGCGUCCUUUGAGUGGAUGGCAGCUGCAUCUCUGCAUUACAGCUAGUUAGAAUGAUGAGUCCUUGCUAUGCCUCAAGCACUGUUUCGAGUGUUUGAUGUCUAUUAUCUCACUUCAUCCUCACCAGGACCCCAUCCGAGGUAAGUUCUAUUAUUGCUAUUUUACAAAAGAGGACACUAACACACAGAGAGAUUUAGUAACUUGCCCCAAAUCACAUAGUUGUUACUUGGCAGAGUAAAGAUUUGAAUCCAGGAUUUCACUCCAUAACCUGUUUUAAAAUUAUUAUAUGAAUUUACCUCUUUUCCAAUCUGGAUGCCCUGAUGAAAGGAGAGUGUAAAGCCACACUCCGGUGCUUAGGGGAUGGAAUCUCCCUUGAAAGGGAUAAACAUGGUUAAUGUUAAUCCCUAAAGAGAACAGGGUUUACGCAGGAAACUGGGACUAGAAAGACUG
rnacentral:lncRNA from 10 species